rnacentral:rRNA from 1 species
UAUUCCCGCGCCGUGGCUGAUGCGCGAUUACUAGCGAAUCCAGCUUCAUGGAGUCGGGUUGCAGACUCCAAUCCGAACUGAGAGAGGUUUUGGGGAUUGGCAUCCCGUCGCCGGGUAGCAGCCUUCUGUACCUCCCAUUGUAACACGUGUGUAGCCCCGGACGUAAGGGCCGUGCUGAUUUGACGUCAUCCCCACCUUCCUCACAUCUUACGAUGGCAGUCCCAAUAGAGUUCCCAGCAUGACCUGAUGGCAACUAUUGGCAAGGGUUGCGCUCGUUAUGGCACUUAAGCCGACACCUCACGGCACGAGCUGACGACAACCAUGCAGCACCUUCACACUGGUCCGAAGAAGGGCCCAUCUCUGAGCCUGUCCAGUGCAAUUUAAGCCCGGGUAAGGUUCCUCGCGUAUCAUCGAAUUAAACCACAUGUUCCUCCGCUUGUGCGGGCCCCCGUCAAUUCCUUUGAGUUUCACCGUUGCCGGCGUACUCCCCAGGUGGAAUACUUAAUGCUUUCGCUUGGCCGCUGACUGUAUAUCGCCAACAGCGAGUAUUCAUCGUUUACCGUGUGGACUACCAGGGUAUCUAAUCCUG